GCCCCGGUCGCCCGCCGCUGCUGGAUCUGAGGCGGCAGCUGCGCUGUCGGACCGGGCGCAGGUGGGUGGAAUGGAGAUGACACCGGGGGAAACCUUGCAAGCCAGAAAUUCAAUAUGGCAGAACCCCCAUUAUCCAGAGACUCCAGAUGACCACGUGGAAGAGGGUAGCCCAAUGAGCUCUUCACCCAUACUGUACUUUUACUGAGACUUCCCAUCAAAAGGAGAAGCCUGCUUCUCCACCCUCUUAAAUCUGGGCAAGCCCGCUACUGUUUUGACCAAUAAAAUUGUGCAGAAGUGGCACUAUGCCAGUUCCAGGCAUAGUACAUCAUGGACCUGGCAGCUUCCAGCUCCUGCCUCUUAGAAGCCAAACACCAGUAAGAAGUGUGACUAACCUCAGAAUGACAUGCUGUGAGCAAGCCCUAAACCAUGUGGAGAGACUGACAGCUCCCAAUUUCUCUAGCCCCCCAGCCCAGGAACUAGACAUGCAAGUGAAGAAGCCUUCAGUUGAUUCCAUCCAUGCUGUUUGAUGGCAACCUAGUGAGAAACAUUCACCUGAGCUCAGUCAACACUAAGAACUGUCAGAAAUAAUACAUUAUUUUUCCACCUCUAAGUAAUGGGGUGUUUUGCCAUGCAGCAAGAGAUAAAUACUUUUUUUUUGGUUUGUUUACAUGGCAUUUCAAGGGCAAAAGAGACAAAUGAAAGGAUACCCUUAUGACCUCUAUUUGUUGCAUGCCCUGUUUUAAGUGGCCACUCCACAGAAAUAGGAUGGACCCUCUCACCCAAAAUUUGGUACAAAUAUAAAGACUGAUGACAGCACAUAUACACUAAAAGGGUUUGAAAUAAUUUAUUUAUCAUUUAUAUAAUAAGGCUUUCCAGGGAGAGCUGGGGGAUUCCCAAGGAGGAAUGCAAACGGCUUCACAGGGCAGGGAAAGGAGAUUGGCUUGAUGUUGCCGUCGUGGUUAGGGAAUGGGGCUGGAGUGAGGGUUCUCCCGGUGUGGGCCAGGGCUUGCAUGGUUUGAACUAUCCACCAGCACUGAAGGAGGUAGCACCCAGACUUCCUUAUCACCUUGCCCAGAUGUAGAGCAGAUGGGCAAGGAGGAGUGCUGGUGCGUGAAAGCUGUCAGCAGUUGAACAGCAGUAAUGGAGUCAGACUCUAUUGUGCUGUAAGUUUUGAUGCUAUAGUAUUUGGUACAU